rnacentral:rRNA from 1 species
CUACGUAGGGGGCGAGCGUUGGCCGGAUUGAUUGGGCGUAAAGGGCGCGUAGGCGGCCCGGUAAGUCUGUAGUGAUAGUCGUGUACUGAAGAGGGGAAUUGCGUUGGAUACUGUCGGGCUUGCGUGCAGUAGAGGGAAGUGGAAUUCCCAGUGUAUCGGUGGAAUGCGUUGAGAUUGGGAGGAACACCAGUGGCGAAAGCGACUUACUGGACUGUAACUGACGCUGAGGCGCGAAAGUGUGGGGAGCAAACAGGAUUAGAUACCCUGGUAGUCCACACUGUAAACGAUGAAUGCUAGGUGUAGGGGGUAUCGACCCCUUCUGUGCCGCAGUCAACACAAUAAGCAUUCCGCCUGGGGAGUACGGCCGCAAGGUUGAAACUCAAAGGAAUUGACGGGG